UACAGAGAGUGCAAACGUUGUUCGGAAUUACUGGGCUUAAAGAGCACGUAGGCGGCAUCGUAAGUGUCGGGUGAAAUCCCACGGCUCACCCGUGGAACUGCCCGGCAUACUGCGGUGCUAGAGUGUGGUAGGGGAGAGCGGAACUCCUGGUGGAGCGGUGAAAUGCGUAGAUAUCAGGAGGAACACCGGUGGCGAAGGCUGCUCUCUGGUCCACAACUGACGCUGAGGUGCGAAAGCUAGGGGAGCAAACGGG
rnacentral:rRNA from 1 species